rnacentral:misc_RNA from 1 species
GAUGAAGAACGCAGCGAACUGCGAUAAGUAAUGUGAAUUGCAGAAUUCAGUGAAUCAUCGAGUCUUUGAACGCACAUUGCGCCCCCUGGCAUUCCGGGGGGCAUGCCUGUUCGAGCGUCAUUACAACCCUCAGGCCCCCGGGCCUGGCGUUGGGGAUCGGCGGAGCCCCCCGUGGGCACACGCCGUCCCCCAAAUACAGUGGCGGUCCCGCCGCAGCUUCCAUCGCGUAGUAGCUAACACCUCGCGACUGGAGAGCGGCGCGGCCACGCCGUAAAACACCCAACUCUUCUGAAGUUGACCUCGAAUCAGGUAGGAAUACCCGCUGAACUUAAGCAUAUCAAUAAGCGGAGGA